CUUCACUGCUUUACACCGAAAUCCUAGCCUGCUUCUUCCUUUGGCUUGAAGCUUCUACCAUACGCUUUCCUGAAAUCCUGAUGUACCAUACGCUUAUUCUUCUUCUUCUUCUACCUGCAUCUCAUUCUCUCUGAAUCACUUGUGCUUGAAUGGCUUAACAAAGGAUUCCAAAAUCAAGGUUAUUCACUUCCAGGUAUCCCCAUUCUAAACCCUAGCCUCCCUUUCCUCUUUCUUCUAGAUUAAUCAUCGCAAUCUUCACCACUGAUUAAGGAUCAAGUAGAUGUUGAUCACUCACUACAAAAAUGAAUACAUAUAUGUGAUUCGACUAAAGGAAGAUGGUGACGUUGGUGGUGGUCUGAAGAGAAAUGACGACGACAGUGGUUGAUUUAGGGUUUCUUCAGUUCGGGUAGUGUGAUGGUUGAUUUAGGGAUUGUGAAAUCGAUUCUCUCCGGCUCCUCUCUGCCUCAACCGAUACUAGGGUUUUGCCAUUGAUUGUUUUUUUAGGGAGGUCAGAUUGGUAACUGAUGCUACUGAACUACCGUGGUAGCCUUUACAGAAAUCUUUAUAUUGUAAAUUAGUUUGAAUUUGGGCCAAGUUCAAUGUGUCCAUUAGCUCGAGUAAAUACCCGAGACCGAUUUUAUCAAGAUAUUAAUACUGAUGACCGACAUGCUAUGUUAGAGCCUGGUGAGCUUCACUAUGCAGAAGAUCGCAUUUAGAUAUACAUAACAAUGGGAGCUCAUGAGCGUCGUGUUGGUUUCAUGUACCGAGAGGGGUUCUCUAAAGUAAGCUACUGCAUUUUUUAGAAAUUAAAAGGGUAAAUUGAUGUUUGGGUUGACCCAUGUGUUCCCUAAGUUAUGUUUAUUGCUAAUUAGUAUAUAGGAUGAAAGAUGUUGUAAUCUAUCAAUUAGCUUAUCAUAUACUGUUGAAA